rnacentral:rRNA from 1 species
GAUUAACGCUAGCGGCAGGCCUAAUACAUGCAAGUCGAACGGCAGCGGGUGUAGCAAUACAUGCCGGCGAGUGGCGCACGGGUGCGUAACACGUAUGCAAUCUACCUUUAACCGGGGAAUAACUCUUCGAAAGAAGAGCUAAUACCGCAUAACACCACGAGAGGACAUCCUUUUGUGGUCAAACCUCCGGGGUUAAGGAUGAGCAUGCGCCCGACUUAGUUAGUUGGCGAGGUAACGGCUCACCAAGACUACGAUCGGUAGGGGUUC